GGGUCAGUAGGUUGGUCGUGCCACCGGUACGUACUGGUCUCACUGAUUCCUCCUUCCUGAAGAACCGUAAUGCCAUUAAUUUGGUGUUGCGGGGACACAGGACUGUUAUUUUGAAAAAAUUAGAGUGUUUAAAGCAAGCUAACGCUUGAAUACAUUAGCAUGGUAUAAUGAAAUAGGACGAUCGAUCCUAUUUUGUUGGUUUCUAGGAUUGACGUA
rnacentral:rRNA from 1 species